AUUGAACGCUGGCGGCAUGCUUUACACAAGCAAGUCGAACGGUAACAGGCCGCAAGGUGCUGACGAGUGGCGAACGGGUGAGUAAUGCAUCGGAACGUGCCCAGUCGUGGGGGAUAACGCAGCGAAAGCUGUGCUAAUACCGAAUACGAGCUAUGGAUGAAAGCGGGGGACCGGAAGGCCUCGCGCGAUUGGAGCGGACGAUGGCAGAUGAGGUAGUUGGUGGGGUAAAGGCCCACCAAGGCGACGAUCGGUAGCUGGUCUGAGAGGACGACCAGCCACACUGGGACUGAGACACGGCCCAGACUCCUACGGGAGGCAGCAGUGGGGAAUUUUGGACAAUGGGCGCAAGCCUGAUCCAGCAAUGCCGCGUGCAGGAAGAAGGCCUUCGGGUUGUAAACUGCUUUUGUACGGAACGAAACGGUCUGGGUUAAUACCCUGGGCUAAUGACGGUACCGUAAGAAUAAGCACCGGCUAACUACGUGCCAGCAGCCGCCGUAAAAC
rnacentral:rRNA from 1 species